rnacentral:lncRNA from 1 species
GAAAAUCGUCGUCAAUCCUGUAAGUGUAGAAAAUCUUUCUUGUUUUUGCCUAGCAGAAUAAUUUUUGUAAUAUCCGCUGAGCAGAAUACUUUUCCUCUCUGUUUUUAGUUGAUAUAUUCUUCUUUUCUUGUUUUUGCUUAGCAGAGUAAUUUUGGGGUUUGGUGUUUUUGAGCCUGAAUCACGAUUAGAUUUUGGCUUUCAUUUAUAUUUUUGUCAUUAUAGUUACUUUUCCAAUUAACAUGACACUAGUUCUAUUGCUCCCAACACUGAAGAAAAUAUCUAUAUUAAGAUUUUUUUAAUAUUCGCUGAGCAGAAUAAUUUUCCUCUCUGUUUUUAGUUAAUAUAUUCUUCUUUUCUUGUUUUUGCUUAGUAGAAUAAUUUUGUGGUUUGGUUUUUUUGGGCCCAAAUCACGCUUAGAUUUCGGCUUAUCAUUUAUAUUUUUGUCAUUAUAGUUCAUUUUCCAAAUAACUUUACACUAGUUCCUUUGCUCUCAGAACUCAGGAUAGUAUCUUUAUAAUAUUUUUGUAAUUUCUGCUUAGCAGAAUACUAUUCCUCUCUGUUUUUAGUUGACAUAUGCUUCUUUUUGCUAAUAUGUUCAGUGGUUUUUAUUAAGAUUGGUUAAUGAAUCAUUAUGGGCCUCGGGGAAGUGUUUCCGGGAUUCAUUAGUUAAAAUUUGUUCAAUUUUUUUAAAAAAUGAAAUUUUUAUUUUAAUAAAAAUAUUAGUUAAAAUUUUAAACAUUUCAACACUUUUUAAAUUUUAAUGAAUUAUAAAUAUUUUGAAUUUUUAAAAUAAUUUUAAUUUAUUUGACAAGAAAAUUUAACACUGAUUUAAAAUUUAAAAUAGAUACAUUACAUAGCUUCUAACGUCUCUCUAAAUUCUUGAUGAGAGACACUUCUUUCUCCUCUAAAUUGUGUCUCCUCUGUUUCCCUUUAUUCUUACUUUUACCUUUUUUAUUAUUAUUUUUUUAUUUUCUCGUCCUCCCUUUCUUUACUUCACAGAUUCUAUUGGGGUCUCUUUCAAUUUUUUUUCCUGACCUCUCUUUUUUAACUUGUGUAAACGCAUGCUGAAAUAAAGUACUUGCUACAACAGGAUAUUGAAAUCCCCUUCUUCAUCAAAUUGUGAUUUCAGGUAUGAUUUUCUGUUCUACUAACUUUCCUUUUUCAUGUCUUUUUAAGUUUCAGACCUAUGCGUAUCUUUUAUUUCUGCGGGUAUUGUGGUUGUUAUCUCUGUUUUAGUUUUCAGAUUUAUGCUGCUUCUUUUUUUUUUUUAGUGUUUUUGUUAUACAUUUCGAUGUUCAGCCUUAUGAAACACAUCUUAUAUUUGUCAUUUUAAAUCUUUCGAUGUCAUCAUUUUUUUGAUAGUUUAUUGUCUGUCAUGUGUUUUAUUUUUUUUUCUGAUUGUUUGUUUCCCUUUGUUUUGAAGGAGAUUUUCUUGCAAAUCCUUGAAUAACCGAAUCCUAUUUAUGAGAAUUUAUAGCGAAGAUAUGUUUCUAAUAUUAUGCAUGUUAAUUAGAAGGAAAAAGAAAAUAGAACUUCAAGUAGUUGUGUUUUUGUUUUGCACUUAUCGCCUUACAGAAAAGUGUAUCUAGAUGCACCAGGUGUGCAUGUGUGAUCGAAUGUACUUUUCCCUAAUGGCUCUAGGGUGCUUUUAUCAUUUGACGCUGAGGUGGAAUUGCUAGGCAUAAACCUUUGACAUUGAAGGUUGCAAUACCUUGGUUGAUGCUCAAUACUAUGUUCCAAAUUGUAUUGAAUUUUAUGUUGCCACUAUGUUCAUUUAUUUCUGCAUGCUUGUUAUUAAGUUGAUCUUGCAUGGUUUUUUUAUUAUAGUACAAAAUGUUUAAUCACUGAAUGCAAUCUGGAUUGUAGUAGACUUGAAAGUUGUUAAUAGGAAGAUUGAUUAACUUUUCUACUUGAGAAGAUUCCCCUUAGACUUGAAAGAUGGAUCUCAUUAUGUUUGUUCUUUUUGAUUGUUUCCUGUGUUCUUUCGUGAGAUAGAUACCUAAUUUUUCUCUUCCUGUAGAUGCAUAUUGCGAUGCAAACCAAGAACGAACGGUUCAAUCAGAGCGAGUUUCGGGUUUGGGGAGCGUCAAAGUCGCCGGCGCUUCGGCUCCUAAAGUGUGGAAAAUCGGCGUCAAUCGUGUAAGUGUAGAAAAUCUUUUCUUGUUUUUGCCUAGCAGAAUAAUUUUUGUAUUUUUAGCUGAGCAGAAUACUUUUCCUCUCUGUUAUUCUUCAUUCAUCUCUCUCACCUUCGGUUCUCCCUUUGUUCUCUUCCCUUUUCCCCUUUUUUCUACUAAUUUUCUUUUUCUCUCUUCCUUGUUUAUUGUCCUUUCUAACAAACCGCUGCCGCUGCCUCCACACACUUUCCAGCGUCUUACCUCUGAUCAGGCCAGCUUCCUUCCCAUCAUUCAAAAUUUAAAUCCUCAAAUAUAUCUAUCCAAUCCAUUGCUCCCCAUUUCUUCGGUGAUUCUCUCUCACUCUCGGUCUCUUUUCAACGUUUUCCUGUCAUUCUUUUUUAGCUUUGGGUAUCCACAGGCCAAAAACACACACGCUAUAGUAGGAAGAGAGUUUUCGUGAGAGAAACCCUAAGUUUUCUCUGGCGUUUCUGGUUUUUGUGAUUUUUGAAAUUCGCUGCUUAAACGGAGACUCAUUUCAGGUAUCAAUUUCUUUUUUAGUUUCAGCUCCAUGCUUUUUUACUUGUAUUUCAGUGGGUUUUUCUUAGGGUUUUUGGUCUUCAGCUUUAGAAAUCUCUAUUUCGUUCCGUUUUUCAGAUCUAUAAAUGUCAGUCUUGUUUUAUCGUAUACUAUAUGUUGUUCUUUAUUUUUGGAUUGUUUGUUCCCCUCUGUUUAAUAUUAUAGCUUUUGUGUUAUUUUCUAUUUCUUUUAAAUCGUUGCUUAGCAGAAUACUAAUUGCCUAAACAAAAAGCAUCCGUAUGUAAAUUGUUUACUGCAUCUGUGUUGGCUUGAUUUUGGUUCUAGGAACCUGGUGGGAGUUGUGUUGGCUUGAUUUUGGUUCUAGACACCCGGUGGGAGUUGUGACGCACGUAGAGUUUAUUUGGUAGUUUUUCUAUAUGGUAAUAAAAUGUCUUUUUAAUUCGUUGUGAGUUGUGACAUUCUGUUUCUUAGUUUUCUCAAAAAGUUUCUCAAAAAGUCUGUACUUUAGUUUUAAAAAAAAAAUAAUAAUCUAAUUGGGAUGCUUGUUGAUAUUGAUAGGAAUUGGAGAAUUUCAACCGAUUUGCUAAUUGCAAAGGUUUUUGUCGAUUUGGGUUUCAUGAUUAUAUACGGUGGAGAUUGUCAUGAUUCGUGUAUGCAUAUAUGUUUUCUUUUUCAUACUGCUGGGUGUUUGCAUUAGUCAGAUAGUGUUGGGUAUAUUUUCUUUAAAAUAAUUGGGAUUGUUUGAGUUCUGUUGGGUAUGAUUUGCAAAUGGAUUUUGAUUGGAAGUUUUAGGUAGACCCAUGGUAUCUCUGUAUAUCUGCUGAAUGGGAAGUUUUAUGUGAUUAUUGAUAUAUCUAUAUGGUGAAAAUGCUCUGAUUUUGGUUAAAGAUAGAAUUAUAUUCAUCUGUGUUGCCUAGCCUUACAUGAAGGGAAAUUUAGUUGUAAUCUUUUAAGUAAAUAGGUUCCAUGAGACUGAUUAACGUAAUUUUGAUUUGCUUAUUGGUUGAUGGUUUUACGAGACUGGUAAAAAGAUGUGCUGGAUAUAUUCUCUAAUGAUGUCAUAACCAAUUUCUUGUUCAUUUAUUGUCCUGGUUGAUUUCUCGAUGCAUGCUGGUUCUGAAUAAAUUUUUCUUCUUUUGAUUUUUCUGUUUUGGGUUAGCUUACAGGAUUUAAAGAUUGUCUUAUUCCAAUACACGAAUAUCCGUGUCAUAUCAGUCUCGGAAUAAGCUAUUCUGGGGAUAUCCCUUUCAUAUCCCAUCCCGAUUCAGGUUUUCCCCUGUCCGGUUCAGUUCUUUUAGUGUACGGUUCAGAUUUUUUAUGCUAAAGGACCGGACUACCUGUCACACUUAUUCCACGUGGGGAUAUUCCAUUCCGCGUAUAUCCCGGUUUGGGGAUAUCCUAAAAAGGGAUAUUCCGGCCGGGUAUAUCCCAUUCCAAGGAUAUCCCGGCGUUUAAGGUUUUUUUGAAGGAAAAUACUGGGCUAUUAUUAAAAUACAAAAACACGAACCGUCAGGACUAAAAGACCGACUCCAAAACGAAAUAGGCCCAAAGCAAAACAAAAGCUUGGAAAAACAGGCCUAAAUUUAUCUGGGUCUAAAUACUAUUUAAGAAAAUAUUGUAUCUUCAAUCCAUAAAGAUUGAAUAUAACUUUUCCAGAGUACGAUAUUUUUUUAAAAAAUGAAAUAAAAUUCAAACCAUUUUUAAAAUAAAUUAUAAAAACUCUUUCUUCCUUCAUCUCUCACGUUCGGUUCUCCCUUUCUUCUCUCCCCCUUUUCCCCUUUCUUCUACUAAUUUUCUUUUUCUCUCUUCGUCCUUUAUUGUCCUUUCCAACAAACCGCUGCCGCGGCUUCCACACACUUUCCAGCGUCUUACCUCCGAUCAGGCCAGCUUCCUUCCCAUCAUUCGAAACUUAAAUCCUCAAAUAUAUCUAUCCAAUCCAUUGUUUCUCAUUUCUUCGGCGAUUCUCUCUCACCCUAGGUCUCUUUUCAACGUUUUCCUGUCAUUCUAUUUUAGCCUUGGGU